AUGGACUUGGUGCCAAGCUGCGUUUUCCUUCUGAUCAUUCUUCAAGGUGUCCAGUGUGAGGUGCAGCUGGUGGAGUCUAGGGGAGGCUUUGUGCAGCCUGGGGGGUCUCUGAGACUCUCCUGUGCAGCCUCUGGAUUCACCUUCAGUAGUUACCAUAUGAACUGGGUUCGCCAGGCUCCAGGGAAGGGACUGGAGCGAAUUUGUGCUAUUACUGGUAAUGGUGGUAGCACCCACUACGCAGACUCUGUGAAGGGCCGAUUCGCUAUCUCCAGGGACAACGCCAAGAACACGCUGUAUCUGCAAAUGAAUAGCCUGAGAGCUGAGGACACGGCUGUGUAUUACUGUGCAAGAGAGACACACAGUGAGAGGAAGUCUGGAGACACAUCCAAAAACCAGUUCUCCCUGCAGCUGAGCUCCAUGACCACCAAGGACACAGCUGUGUAUUACUGUGCCAGACACAGUGUCCUGUCCCAGAUGCAGCUGCAGGAGUUGGGCCCAGGACUGGUGAAGCCCUCGCAGACCCUCUCCCUCACCUGCAAUGCCUCUUGA